GAUGAACGCUAGCGGCAGGCCUAAUACAUGCAAGUCGGACGGGAUCCAGGAGCUUGCUCUUGGUGAGAGUGGCGCACGGGUGCGUAACACGUAUGUAACCUACCUUCGUCAGGGGGAUAGCCUCUCGAAAGAGAGAUUAAGACCGCAUAACAUUAUUGAAUAGCAUUAUUUAAUAAUCAAAUAUUUAUAGGACGAAGAUGGGCAUGCGGAACAUUAGCAGUUGGUAAGGUAACGGCUUACCAAGGCUACGAUGUUUAGGGGAUCUGAGAGGAUCGGCCCCCCACACU
rnacentral:rRNA from 1 species